CGACCUUUGAUCGAUGCACAUUAAUGUAACGAUAUGCAACACUCUCUAAAUUGAGGUGUAUAUUAAUGAUUCCUAUUUGUGGACAGCUCCAUAAUUGGUGGCAAAAGUUGUAAUUAUGAAAUGAAUUUGAAGGCUGACAUUUAAUCUGAUGCAAAGAGAUUAGUUGAAGGAAUAUGUUCGAGUAAAAUGUGGUGUAUAAAUAGAGGUGAUAAGCGGACAUAAAAUGCAGAGAUCGAGGAAGAGAUGAGAGGAGAGGAGUUGCAUGAAGAGAAGAGGGUUCGAUGGUUUAGUAGCCAAGAAUGAUUUGCCUGGAAAUCUAUAAUUCUAGCUAGGAUUCCGGGCAGUCUUCUUGGUUACUUCAACGCCUCUUCUCUCUUAUGCUACUUCUUUUUGUCUUCGUGCUUCUAUACAUGUAAUAUAUAUACAUGCAUAUAUUUGCUAAGUUUUCGUUUCAUAACAAAUGGCUAGCUAGAGGGAGUUCAAUCUAACAUAGAAAAGAUCAUCGGGUUCUAAUCAUAUCAAUUUUUUCGAAUUGGUAUUCUGUUUCAUCCAAUUCCAGUUUCAUCAUAUUCAGGAAUUUGGUGUGAUAUAAAUUAGUUUUGGCGGAACCUUAUCACCACCCAAACCGUGGGAAAACAUCACUGCAUACAGGCGGGACCUUAUCACCACCUGAACGGUGGGAAAACAUCACCGCACGCAGGCGAGAAACGCCCUGCGUGUGGGACCUCAACACCAAAUAAUACAACAUCGCACGCAGGCUGGAAUACAGCGCCACCUUAAGUGGGAAAACAUCAUCGCACAUAGACGGGAUUAAACCCAAGACCUCUCACAAAGAAGAGUCUUUGGGUGCCUCAACCUUAUCACUAGAACAAGGCCUCAUUAGCAUCUUUGAAGAUAUAAUUAAUAGGGGUUAUUGCCAGAAAAUACAUGUAGUUUGUCAAUUUUCUUGUUUAUAACAUGACCUUAUAAUUUGACCAGAAAAUACACCAAUUUUCAAUUUAA